AGUGUACUCAAGUGAAGUUUUUACUUAUCAGAGUGAAGACCAGAGCCAAAAGAAAGUCAAGUAUGAGAUUUUCAGGCACAGAUCCUCACUUCUCGAGCCAUCAGGAUUGAAAAACAAGUCACUGGGGCCCUGGAAGGAUGACCUGGCUGUGCUGUCAGACUUGGACCAAGUUCCAGAGAUGUUGAUUGGACUGAAGGGUUUGGCACUCCAUCCGUGUGAGUGCCAUCAAAUAAGCAGGUGGGG